CCAAACCAACCACCAGGUUUUUAUUGCGGUAUUCUUACAAUCCCAGGAUUUUGCUUUUUUUUUUUAAAGAAAUAUUUUUGGUUUUGAACUCAUAAAUGGUUAUAGCAUACAUCAUUGGCAUUUGUUCAAACUAGGGCUACUGGCCCAAUUUAUUCUGGCCUAGGCCCAACCUAGGUUUAAUGUUCAAAAUAAAAAGAGCCCAACUUGCGGCCUGCCUC
rnacentral:lncRNA from 1 species